rnacentral:rRNA from 1 species
GAUGAACGCUGGCGGCGUGCCUAAUACAUGCAAGUCGAGCGAACGGACGAGAAGCUUGCUUCUCUGAUGUUAGCGGCGGACGGGUGAGUAACACGUGGAUAACCUACCUAUAAGACCGGGAUAACUUCGGGAAACCGGAGCUAAUACCGGAUGAUAUUCUGAACCGCAUGGUUCAAAAGUGAAAGACGGUCUUGCUGUCACUUAUAGAUGGAUCCGCGCUGCAUUAGCUAGUUGGUAAGGUAACGGCUUACCAAGGCAACGAUGCAUAGCCGACCUGAGAGGGUGAUCGGCCACACUGGAACUGAGACACGGUCCAGACUCCUACGGGAGGCAGCAGUAGGGAAUCUUCCGCAAUGGGCGAAAGCCUGACGGAGCAACGCCGCGUGAGUGAUGAAGGUCUUCGGAUCGUAAAACUCUGUUAUUAGGGAAGAACAUAUGUGUAAGUAACUGUGCACAUCUUGACGGUACCUAAUCAGAAAGCCACGGCUAACUACGUG